rnacentral:rRNA from 1 species
UAGAGGGAAUUCCCAGUGUAGCGGUGAAAUGCGUAGAGAUUGGGAAGAACACCGGUGGCGAAAGCGCUCUACUGGGUCGCACCUGACCCUCAGGGACGAAGGCUAAGGUAGCGAAAGGGAUUAGAUACCCCUGUAGUCUUAGCCGUAAACGAUGGAUACUAGGCGUGGUUUGUAUCGACCCAAGCCGUGCCGAAGCUAACGCGUUAAGUAUCCCGCCUGGGGAGUACGCACGCAAGUGUGAAACUCAAAGGAAUUGACGGGGGCCCGCACAAGCGGUGGAGGAUGUGGUUUAAUUCGAUGCAACGCGAAGAACCUUACCAGGGCUUGACAUCCCGCGAAGUUUGGGGAAACUCAGACGUGCCUACGGGAACGCGGAGACAGGUGGUGCAUGGCUGUCGUCAGCUCGUGUCGUGAGAUGUUGGGUUAAGUCCCGCAACGAGCGCAACCCUCGUCCUUAGUUGCCAGCAUUAAGUUGGGCACUCUAGGGAGACUGCCGGUGACAAACCGGAGGAAGGUGAGGAUGACGUCAAGUCAGCAUGCCCCUUAUGCUCUGGGCAACACACGUCCUACAAUGGUCGGGACAAAGGGGAGCGAGCUCGCGAGAGUAAGCGAAUCCCAGCAAACUCGGCCUCAGUUCAGAUAGCAGGCUGCAACUCGCCUGCUUGAAGGAGGAAUCGCUAGUAAUCGCAGGUCAGCAUACUGCGGUGAAUUCGUUCCCGGGCCUUGUACACACCGCCCGUCACACCAUGGAAGCUGGCCAAGCCCGAAGUCGUUACCCUAACCCUGCGGGGAGGGGGGCGCCGAAGGCUGGGCUAGUGACUGGGGUGAAGU